AGCGAACGCUGGCGGCAGGCCUAACACAUGCAAGUCGAACGAACCUUUCGGGGUUAGUGGCGGACGGGUGAGUAACACGUGGGAACGUGCCUUUAGGCUCGGAAUAACUCAGGGAAACUUGUGCUAAUACCGAAUGUGCCCUUCGGGGGAAAGAUUUAUCGCCUUUAGAGCGGCCCGUGUCUGAUUAGCUAGUUGGUUGAAGUAAUGGCUCACCAAGGCGACGAUCAGUAGCUGGGCUGAGAGGAUGAUCAGCCACAUUGGGACUGAGACACGGUCCAAAAUCCUACGGGAGGCAGCAGUGGGGAAUCUUGCGCAAUGGGCGAAAUCCUGACGCAGCCAUGCCGGGUGAAUGAUUAAGGUCUGAGGGUUGUAAAAUUCUUUCACCGGGGACGAUAAUGACGGUACCCGGAGAAGAAGCCCCGGCUAACUUCGUG
rnacentral:rRNA from 1 species